AACAGUGAUUUGAUAUGGUUAUGGUGUCUGGAGUGCGCAGCAUUUCACGAUUAAGACGCUGCAAAUACAUUGUUUAUCUCCUUUGCUGCCGAAUGCGUAACUCCACCUACGGCAGCAACAUUGGGUUGUCCCUAGGCAGAUCUGGAACACGGGUUUGCAGGGAUUCAUUCAUUGGCUGAGAGCAAUUCGCUGACAUUCUCAGCCAAUGAUUGGGCGGUAGGACUGCCCUCUGGUUUCUGCUUUGCUUUCACAGGACCCAGGUAAUUGGCAAAGUGUUGGGAAAGGUGUCA